GGGUUGUGAGGUUAAGCGACUAAGCGUACACGGUGGAUGCCCUGGCAGUCAGAGGCGAUGAAGGACGUGCUAAUCUGCGAUAAGCGUCGGUAAGGUGAUAUGAACCGUUGUAACCGGCGAUUUCCGAAUGGGGAAACCCAGUGUGAUUCGUCACACUAUCAUUAACUGAAUCCAUAGGUUAAUGAGGCGAACCGGGGGAACUGAAACAUCUAAGUACCCCGAGGAAAAGAAAUCAACCGAGAUUCCCCCAGUAGCGGCGAGCGAACGGGGAGCAGCCCAGAGCCUGAAUCAGUGUGUGUGUUAGUGGAAGCGUUUGGAAAGGCGCGCGAUACAGGGUGACAGCCCCGUACACAAAAAUGCACAUAUUGUGAGCUCGAUGAGUAGGGCGGGACACGUGGUAUCCUGUCUGAAUAUGGGGGG
rnacentral:rRNA from 1 species